rnacentral:lncRNA from 1 species
CAGAGUCCGAAGAUCGUUCUCUGACUUUUUCUUUGUGUUUCUCUUGGAGUCGACUCUUACUACCCUGGAGUCGACUCGUUGAACAUUGGAGUCGACUCGCGCACUUCGGGAGUCGACUCGUUGACAGUUUCUGAGUUGAAGCUUUCUGUUCUUCUGUCUGUUCUCAGUCAGAGUCGACUCGUACUGAUCUGGAGUCGACUCGAGCUCGUGCCAGUGAACUUGAUACGCUUGGAGUCGACUCGUGAUACUCGGGAGUCGACUCGAGUCUCAGACAUUGGUUCAUGCAGACUUCUUAACUUAUCCAAAAUACUAUGAACCAAGUCUAGAAACACUUGGACAGGAUUUUCACUGAAACACUCAAUUGAAUUCAUUAGUAAUCACAAGAUAUACUCAAAUGCUUUGAGCUCAUCAAAAUCAAAUGGGGUUUUAAUCAAUCACUCCUCCCUCUAUCAUUCAAGAGUUGAAAGAAAGGGAGGUGAUCAGCCAUCAAAGUAAUCUCUGCAAGGGAGCUAGCACCCCGGGGAGAUUGGAGCGUUAGGAUUGGUCCUCUGCUUCGUGUGGAUACCCGUAGAGGCCGGACACUUGAACGGCUUCAAGCGAACCUUCUUCCAAAAUCACGAUCAUCAGUUUGCGGUG